CCGAUCAGCUAAAAAAUUUAGCUUCGAAAUUUUUUUUUGUUUUCAACGUUGUUCAAUCCACAAAGCCAAUCCAUUUGAAAUCACAUCGCAACAUAGCUCGAUUACACAUACACUUAUGAGCGCGAGACCGCAGUAUCAGUGUGAAUGUGCGUAACAUGAACGAAGUACGUAUACAUGGCAUACACGA